rnacentral:rRNA from 1 species
AUAGGUGUAGGCGCAGCGAAAGCGAGUCUUAAUAGGGCGCAUGAGUUCGUGGGAUCAGACCCGAAACCGAGUGAUCUAGCCAUGACCAGGAUGAAGGUACGGUAACACGUACUGGAGGUCCGAACCCACACCUGUUGAAAAAGGUCGGGAUGAGUUGUGGCUAGGGGUGAAAGGCCAAUCAAACUCGGAGAUAGCUGGUUCUCCGCGAAAUCUAUUUAGGUAGAGCGUCGCACGAAUACUCUCGGGGGUAGAGCACUGGAUGGGCUAGGGGGCCUCACCGCUUACCAAACCUAACCAAACUCCGAAUACCGAGAAGUACUAUGCGGCAGACACACCACGGGUGCUAAGGUCCGUGGUGGAGAGGGAAAGAGCCCAGACCGCCAUCUAAGGUCCCCAAGUUAUGACUAAGUGGGAAAGGAAGUGGAAUGUCCAAAACAACCAGGAGGUUGGCUUAGAAGCAGCCAUCCUUUAAAG